rnacentral:rRNA from 1 species
UACGUAGGAGGCAAGCGUUGUCCGGAAUUACUGGGCGUAAAGCGCGUGUAGGUGGUGGGACAAGUCUGCUGUGAAAGCGCCUGGCUUAACCGGGCGAGGUCGGCGGAAACUGUCCGACUCGAGGACGGUAGAGGGGGGUGGAAUUCCCGGUGUAGUGGUGAAAUGCGUAGAGAUCGGGAGGAACACCUGUGGCGAAGGCGGCCCCCUGGGCCGGCCCUGACACUGAGAGACGAAAGCUAGGGGAGCAAACAGG